rnacentral:lncRNA from 1 species
AUUUUUCAAUUUUGAAAGCUCAGUUCUACUGUGAAAGAGAAACUGGCAAAAUGUCAUCAGAUGGCCCCAAAUCUGCUUCCUCUUAGUGACUUCCAAAUCCAAAGUGCUCGCUUUAAAAAUAAAAAGAUGCAGCUUUUUUAACAGAUAAUUUCACCAGCAACCAGUCUGAGAGACAAAAGAGUUCAUUCCUUCUCUUAUAAAAAUUAUGUUGUGGAGAAAGUUAUCUGGCAUUUUUACAGGCCCAACAGACUUGAAUGUUGAAGUUGAUUCUGUUGAUGCACAAGAAAUAAGUAAUACUCUCUAGCCCUUCUCCCACAGCUCUGCUGCUCCUGAGCUGCUGCUCAGAAAGAGGCCUGCCAGUGGGGAAAGUGCUAUUACCUUCAGCAGAAAAAGCAGCUGGGAUUCAAACCUGUCUCAAAAGUCCUUUAGGAGGGAGACGCUGCUCUGGUAGAAAGAAUUUGCUUCCUGCAGGCAAGCUGAGUAAAGAUGAGAGUUCUGGAAAAGCAUCUUCCGUGACUGAAUGCUGCAAGGGGCCCAGCUCUCAGUCCCUGUUCUGUGAGAUUGCCAGGCCAAGACACAGAUGCCAUGUUCAUGAAAUUGCGGAGCCCUGUCAUGUGGCCCAGGGCUUUCUGCUGCUACCUCACCAUCAAUUUGAUUUGAAGAAGAGAGAAGGAACCAAAGACUCCAUCUGCAUUAGAUGCAGCAGGGAUCGAGGCGCUACCGCGGCCGGCCAGAGCAUGCACGCCCAGGAGCGGCAGCAAACGCAGCUCGGCUGCAGGCGGACGUGGCUACGUCCCAGGGAACCUGCAGGGCUGUUCUCUGCCCUUGGCUGCAGGAAAUUAAUUGUUUUACUCUGGAGAAGAUCCAGAUUGAUUCAGUAUUUGGCCCUGGCCAGCACCUGACUUGCAUGAAAAGGAAGAGACGUCAUCGCUGCUUCCCUGUGCUUCAGUGCUACCUUGGCCUGGCGUGGUGCUGCCUUUCGUUUGAUUCGCCUCCGCGAAAAUCGAGACGGUAGUUCUGCCAGGACCCCUGGUGAACACCGUGCCUAU